ACUUCACAAGUGUAUUUCUACCG
rnacentral:miRNA from 1 species